GACGAAGAACGUAGCGAAAUGCGAUAAGUAAUGUGAAUUGCAGAAUUCAGUGAAUCAUCGAAUCUUUGAACGCACAUUGCGCCCGUCAGUAUUCUGGCGGGCAUGCCUGUUCGAGCGUCAUUACGCCCCUCAAGUCCCCUGUGGACUUGGUGUUGGGGAUCGGCGAGGCUGGUUUUCCAGCACAGCCGUCCCUUAAAUUAAUUGGCGGUCUCGCCGUGGCCCUCCUCUGCGCAGUAGUAAAACACUCGCAACAGGAGCCCGGCGCGGUCCACUGCCGUAAAACCCCCCAACUUUUUAUAGUUGACCUCGAAUCAGGUAGGACUACCCGCUGAACUUAAGCAUAUCAAUAGCGGAGGA
rnacentral:misc_RNA from 1 species